rnacentral:rRNA from 1 species
AUGAACGCUGGCGGCGUGCCUAAUACAUGCAAGUCGAGCGAACAGAUAAGGAGCUUGCUCCUUUGACGUUAGCGGCGGACGGGUGAGUAACACGUGGGUAACCUACCUAUAAGACUGGAAUAACUCCGGGAAACCGGGGCUAAUGCCGGAUAAUAUUUAGAACCGCAUGGUUCUAAAGUGAAAGAUGGUUUUGCUAUCACUUAUAGAUGGACCCGCGCCGUAUUAGCUAGUUGGUGGGGUAAUGGCUUACCAAGGCAACGAUACGUAGCCGACCUGAGAGGGUGAUCGGCCACACUGGAACUGAGACACGGUCCAGACUCCUACGGGAGGCAGCAGUAGGGAAUCUUCCGCAAUGGGCGAAAGCCUGACGGAGCAACGCCGCGUGAGUGAUGAAGGUCUUCGGAUCGUAAAACUCUGUUAUUAGGGAAGAACAAAUGUGUAAGUAACUGUGCACGUCUUGACGGUACCUAAUCAGAAAGCCACGGCUAACUACGUGCCAGCAGCCGCGGUAAUACGUAGGUG